rnacentral:rRNA from 1 species
UAUGAAAGAAUUUUCUAAAUUUUAUUAAUCUAAAUUUUAACUUAUAUUCUUAUUAAAAUAGUAAGAUUUUUUUUAAGACUAAAAGACCCUAGAAUUUUUAUAAUUUUUUUAUUUUAUUGGGGAAAUAAAGAAAAAAAAUUUUUUUAUUUUUUAUUGGUUUAUGAACUUUUUUUAAAGA